rnacentral:rRNA from 1 species
GAUGAACGCUGGCGGCGUGCUUAACACAUGCAAGUCGAACGGAAAGGCCCAAGCUUGCUUGGGUACUCGAGUGGCGAACGGGUGAGUAACACGUGGGUGAUCUGCCCUGCACUUCGGGAUAAGCCUGGGAAACUGGGUCUAAUACCGGAUAGGACGAUGGUUUGGAUGCCAUUGUGGAAAGUUUUUUCGGUGUGGGAUGAGCUCGCGGCCUAUCAGCUUGUUGGUGGGGUAAUGGCCUACCAAGGCGUCGACGGGUAGCUGGCCUGAGAGGGUGUACGGCCACAUUGGGACUGAGAUACGGCCCAGACUCCUACGGGAGGCAGCAGUGGGGAAUAUUGCACAAUGGGCGCAAGCCUGAUGCAGCGACGCCGCGUGGGGGAUGACGGCCUUCGGGUUGUAAACUCCUUUCGCUAGGGACGAAGCGUUUUUGUGACGGUACCUGGAGAAGAAGCACCGGCUAACUACGUG